rnacentral:tRNA from 1 species
GGGUGUGGCUCAGAGGUAGAGUGCUCACCUACCACACAAGAGGCACUGGGUUCGAUCCUCAGCACCACA